CCGGCCCGAAUCUCUCUCCAGACGUCGGGCGGUAGGUUUAGGAUCGGGAUGGCGGUGGCGUCGGCGAUGGCGAUUGCGAGAAGGACGAAUCUGGUGGCGAAGCGAUCGAGCAAAUACCUGGCGGAGGCGCUAUACUCACAAGAGUGAGUGAAGAAUGUGUCACCUUUGGCACUGAAGCACCCUUCAAAGAAUGGGAGCAAACAUUCAACCUACGACGUCCAUGUUGCUUAUGCAUCAAUAAGAACUUUUCUCGAUGAAGGAACGCUAGAAAAAGCUGAAACAAGUAGAGCAUGCAAAGGUGCGGCGUAAAAGACUCAAUAUAAUGGCGAAUCAUGGGAGAUCUUCAUGGAUUAUUUGAUUGUUCUGAAGAAAAGGGAUAAGAAAAUGCACAUUGAUACACUGAUGGCACAAUGUAGAAAGGGAGAAGCUAAGGAAGAAUUUGAAUCUUUUAUCUCAACCUGAUUGUUAUUUGGCAGUCUAAUUGACUCUUUUUGGAGCUUAUAUUAAGUAAAUGACAACAGCUUGCGAUAUUUAUGUUCCAUGUAACAUAAAACUUUGAACUCUUAAUUUUGCAUUUGAACAAUCAUGUGUAGUUCUUAGUUGUUGAAAUCAUUCUUAAGUUGGUUUUGUUGCUUA